rnacentral:rRNA from 1 species
AUUGAACGCUGGCGGCAUGCCUUACACAUGCAAGUCGAACGGUAACAGGUCUUCGGAUGCUGACGAGUGGCGAACGGGUGAGUAAUACAUCGGAACGUGCCCGAUCGUGGGGGAUAACGAAGCGAAAGCUUUGCUAAUACCGCAUAAGAUCUACGGAUGAAAGCAGGGGACCGCAAGGCCUUGCGCGAACGGAGCGGCCGAUGGCAGAUUAGGUAGUUGGUGGGAUAAAAGCUUACCAAGCCGACGAUCUGUAGCUGGUCUGAGAGGACGACCAGCCACACUGGGACUGAGACACGGCCCAGACUCCUACGGGAGGCAGCAGUGGGGAAUUUUGGACAAUGGGCGAAAGCCUGAUCCAGCCAUGCCGCGUGCAGGAUGAAGGCCUUCGGGUUGUAAACUGCUUUUGUACGGAACGAAAAGACUCUGGUUAAUGCCUGGGGUCCAUGACGGUACCGUAAGAAUAAGCACCGGCUAACUACGUG